rnacentral:lncRNA from 10 species
GGAGUCAGAGUGUGGGGGAGGCGACAAGAGGAGAGGGGAGAAGAGAGGCUGGCACGCAGUGGUCCCCUGCGGAGAGUCUGGCCCUGCACUCACUAAGGGGAGGCACUCAUAGCCCAGCCAGGCCUCUGCAAUUAUGCCUUCAAUGCCAGAACUAACUCACCCAAACUGAACAAUCGAUCACAAAAUGUGCCUUCAGGUCUCAAGGUUCUUGCUAAAUCUUACUCAACCGACAUUUUCCAGCAUGGGAACAUUUUUCUGAAUGUCUUAGGGAGAGGAAGUCCGCAAGAGAACAAAAGGUCCUCAGGCCACCCUAGCUUCUUUUCCUCCAUUCCACAGGCUGUCUUUUGUCUGGGUAUGCACUGGACCAGGGGGCUCUACUUCUUCCUACCUGGGCAUGGGUCUCCACACAACUCCAAGGUAAAGGGCCACAGGCAAGAUAAAGGGGAGAAAAGAAAGCUACGAUUUCCUGGGCCACCAAUCGCAAAUGGCAGCCAGUCUCUGAAGUAACCCUUGACCAGAGAUCCAAGGAACCAAGAAAUGUAGGUGAUCUGAACAGAGGGGAUGGUGGUUAAACACCAUGAAGGAAAGACCCAUUCUCAAAGAAAAGGAAGCAAAAAGAAACCGUGGGGAGCUGGGUACCACCCGCAGCAAAGACCCCGCACGCGUUACUGACGCCAGCCUGGCCUGGGAGAGCAGUGAGUGUGGCGGACGGUGAGUGGCGGGGAGGGCUGUGGUAGGUUUAGGGUAAGAAGGGGCAGCGCCCAGAGCCCAGAGAACACCAGUGAGGGCUCCACAGGAACACUACUCAAAGUAUUCACGGAACACAUCUAAACACAAGCACUAAGGACUAAGUGCGAGGGACAAGAAAAUAUUCCCCGUUUCCUGUUUCAGGAGGGUAUCGAAAAUGAGUGAUGGAAGGAAAAUGUAUUGUUUAAAUGAGGAAAAAAAAUUUUUACAAAUUAAGAACAUCCUGGAACAUGAUGAGCCGUUUACUGUCACUCAAUUUAAAUGGUGGCCAUCUAGGACAGAGCGCCUAAGGGGAAAGGGGGCUCACAGGUGAACCCCUCCAGCUGCUGGUGGGCAAUUUCCCAUUAGGGCAUCAGGGUCUCUGAAGACUGUCUUCAGAUGCUUUUUAGCCAGGAAAGUUACAAUGAUGAAUUCGUUUACACUGGCGGAAUUACUUCGUAUUUCUCAAAUAUAAUGUUUUCACUAGCAUAACUUUGUUGUUGUAGACUUAGGCUUCAAAAU